ensembl:lncRNA
UGUUCUUUUGCUAGAGACAGCAAGUAAACAAGCUAGGCCUGAUGGUUUCCUUUUUGGAUGCCACUGGAAUAUGGUGUGCAUGAAAAUGAGAUGCAGAAUAAAGUCUCUUUGUACCUGGAAGAAGAAUCAUGAUUUCUCCUAAAUGAUGAUUACUCCUCAAUUUAUAUAUCUUAUUAGGGUGUACUAUCUGUGCUUUCAAAAAAAAAUCAACAUUCACAUUAUUCUCAAACUUGACUGCAAAAGCAGUUAGGUUUUGCAAAACUAGUCAAAUGCUAAUGAGGUUCAGAAGGUAUCUCACUUUGAAGAAUAAAAGACAGAAGUUGGAUGGGGCCCUGGGAAACCUGAUCUAGAGCCUGAUUUACUUGGUGGCAAUCCUGCCCAAAUCAGAGUUUGGCCUUAGCUGAUCUUGGAGUUCUUUCCAGCCCAAGUCAUUCUGUGAUUCUGUGGUCCCAGCUACCCAUCAGGAGGACGGAGGAGAACUCUACCUGUACCCGCGAUCCCUCCAACAUCUUUCCAAAGGAUGUAAAGUCCAUUUUAAAUGUUCUUCAGUUUCCUUGUCGCAGCAUCCUGGGACCCAGCCUGAAUGAAGGUGAAAAGAUAGUAGCCUUCCAGUUUAAUGAGCUGUGGUAGAGCCUUCCUAAUGUCUCUAACACAUGCCCCUGGAAGACAGAACACCUCUAUGCAGAUGUUAUCUGGGUGGCAAAUGGGAGUCUCAGUGCCUCCCAGCAAGGUGUCCCAAUUACUGAGACUCUCUGCCCUUUUUUGGUGGCACUUGAAUUAAUGCAGUGCCCCAACUGGCCUUGCUUUCUAAGCUUGUUACUUCCUGCAUUCUUGAUGUGCUCCACAGGGCCUGGGUUUGGACCUCUUUCCAGACCAUCGUGGCUUUCCAGCCUGAGAGCUUUGAAUCUAUUAUAUGGGGACGCUGCAGGGGUGGGUGGCACCGUGAGUGUUGGGGGCAGAUGCCUCCUUCUGCUUCAAGCAGAGACCAGAGCCCAGCCCCU